UGGGGAAUAUUGCACAAUGGGGGAAACCCUGAUGCAGCGACGCCGCGUGAGUGAAGAAGUAUUUCGGUACGUAAAGCUCUAUCAGCAGGGAAGAAAAUGACGGUACCUGACUAAGAAGCCCCGGCUAACUACGUGCCAGCAGCCGCGGUAAUACGUAGGGGGCAAGCGUUAUCCGGAUUUACUGGGUGUAAAGGGAGCGUAGACGGCAGCGCAAGUCUGGAGUGAAAUGCCGGGGCCCAACCCCGGAACUGCUUUGGAAACUGUGCAGCUUGAGUGCGGGAGAGGUAAGUGGAAUUCCUAGUGUAGCGGUGAAAUGCGUAGAUAUUAGGAGGAACACCAGUGGCGAAGGCGGCUUACUGGACCGUAACUGACGUUGAGGCUCGAAAGCGUGGGGAGCAAACAGG
rnacentral:rRNA from 1 species